rnacentral:sRNA from 1 species
GUGGCGAAUAACGAGGCCUCUGGGCACUA